rnacentral:rRNA from 1 species
AACGAACGCUGGCGGCGUGCCUAACACAUGCAAGCCGUGCGAGAAAGUUCCUUCGGGAGCGAGUAAAGCGGCGCACGGGUGAGUAACACGUAGGUAACCUGCCCCCCAGUCUGGAACAACUAGAGGAAACUCUAGCUAAUGCCGGAUGAGACCACGAUCCCUUCGGGGUUGCGGCCAAAGAUGGCCUCUACUUGUAAGCUAUCGCUGAGGGAUGGGCCUGCGGGCCAUUAGCUUGUUGGUGAGGUAACGGCUCACCAAGGCUGUGAUGGCUAGCUGGUCUGAGAGGAUGACCAGCCACACUGGGACUGAGACACGGCCCAGACUCCUACGGGAGGCAGCAGUGGGAAUAUUGCGCAAUGGGCGAAAGCCUGACGCAGCGACGCCGCGUGGGUGAUGAAGGCCUUCGGGUCGGUAAAGCCCGU